rnacentral:rRNA from 1 species
GAUGAACGCUGGCGGCGUGCCUAAUACAUGCAAGUCGAGCGAACAGAUGAGGAGCUUGCUCCUCUGACGUUAGCGGCGGACGGGUGAGUAACACGUGGAUAACCUACCUAUAAGACUGGGAUAACUUCGGGAAACCGGAGCUAAUACCGGAUAAUAUAUUGAACCGCAUGGUUCAAUAGUGAAAGACGGUUUUGCUGUCACUUAUAGAUGGAUCCGCGCCGCAUUAGCUAGUUGGUAAGGUAACGGCUUACCAAGGCAACGAUGCGUAGCCGACCUGAGAGGGUGAUCGGCCACAGUGGAACUGAGACACGGUCCAGACUCCUACGGGAGGCAGCAGUAGGGAAUCUUCCGCAAUGGGCGAAAGCCUGACGGAGCAACGGCGCGUGAGUGAUGAAGGUCUUCGGAUCGUAAAACUCUGUUAUUAGGGAAGAACAAAUGUGUAAGUAACUAUGCACGUCUUGACGGUACCUAAUCAGAAAGCCACGGCUAACUACGU